rnacentral:rRNA from 1 species
AGUGAACGCUGGCGGUAGGCCUAAUACAUGCAAGUCGAACGGCCGCACAGUAAGCGUUCUCCCCUACGGGUGGCGAGUGGCGGACGGGUGAGACAUACAUCGCCUUCCACUUUUACGGGGGUGACUUCGUAGGGCAACAUAUGCUACUACAGCAUACUUCCUACCGCUUAAAUCAGGAGUGCAUCGGACUUUGCGUGUCUCAUUUAGCCGGUGCCGCAUUAGCUAGUUGGCUAGGUAAAGGCACACCAAGGCGACGAUGCGUAGCUGGUCUGAGAGGAUGAUCAGCCACACUGGAACUGAGACACGGUCCAGACUCCUACGGGAGGCAGCAGUAGGGAAUCUUGCACAAUGGGCGAAAGCCUGACGCAGCCACGCCGCGUGAGUGAUGAAGGUCUUCGGAUUGUAAAACUCUUUUAUUAGGGAAGAAAAGCAGCGUAUGUAACUCCGGCUGUUCUGACGGUACCUAAUCAGAAAGCCCCGGCUAACUUCGUG